AGCCAGCACGGCUGGCAAAAUCUCCUCCCAACAUUUUGUAUUCCAUCCCAUCUUCCUGCUUCUCACAUGUGCACACACACACACACUCACUCACACACACUCACUCACACACACGCUCACUCACACUUACACACACACACACUCACACACUCUCACACACUCACACACACACACUUACACACAUGCUCACUCACACACACUCACUCACACACUCUCACACACACUCACACACUCACACACACUCACACACACACUCACACACACUCACACACACACUCUCACACAUGCUCACUCACACACACUCACACACACUCACACACACACACUCUCACACAUGCUCACUCACACACACUCACUCACACACACUCACUCUCACACACACUCACACACACUCACACACAUACUCACACACUCAUUCUCACACACACUCACACACAUACUCACACACACUCACACACACUCACACACUCACACACACACACUUACACACAUGCUCACUCACACACUCACUCACACACUCACACACACACUCUCACACAUGCUCACUCACACACACACUCUCACACAUGCUCACUCACACACACUCACUCACACACACUCACACACACUCACUCACACACACUCACACACACUCACUCUCACACACACUCACACACACUCACACACAUACUCACACACACUCAUUCUCACACACACUCACACACAUACUCACACACACUCACACACACUCACACACUCACACACACACACUUACACACAUGCUCACUCACACACUCACUCACACACUCACACACACACUCUCACACAUGCUCACUCACACACACACACACUCUCACACAUGCUCACUCACACACACUCACUCACACACACUCACACACACUCACUCACACACACUCACACACACUCACUCUCACACACACUCACACACACUCACACACAUACUCACACACACUCAUUCUCACACACACUCACACACGCUCACACACUCACACACACACACUCACACACACACUCACACACACACUCACACACGCUCUUAACUCAAGUGGAGAGAUGCCCAGCAAGUGGCCAGUCCCUCCUGACACUAUC
rnacentral:lncRNA from 1 species